AACGAACGCUGGCGGCAUGCCUAACACAUGCAAGUCGAACGAAGGCUUCGGCCUUAGUGGCGCACGGGUGCGUAACGCGUGGGAAUCUGCCCUUUGGUUCGGAAUAACAGCUGGAAACGGCUGCUAAUACCGGAUGAUGACGAAAGUCCAAAGAUUUAUCGCCAGAGGAUGAGCCCGCGUUGGAUUAGGUAGUUGGUGGGGUAAAGGCCUACCAAGCCGACGAUCCAUAGCUGGCCUGAGAGGAUGAUCAGCCACACUGGGACUGAGACACGGCCCAGACUCCUACGGGAAGCAGCAGUGGGGAAUAUUGGACAAUGGGCGCAAGCCUGAUCCAGCAAUGCCGCGUGAGUGAUGAAGGCCCUAGGGUUGUAAAGCUCUUUUACCCGGGAAGAUAAUGACUGUACCGGGAGAAUAAGCCCCGGCUAACUCCGUG
rnacentral:rRNA from 1 species